CCUACGGGUGGCAGCAGUGAGGAAUAUUGGUCAAUGGGCGCGAGCCUGAACCAGCCAAGUCGCGUGAGGGAAGACGGUCCUAUGGAUUGUAAACCUCUUUUGUCGGGGAGCAAAAGACGCCACGCGUGGCGUUCCGAGAGUACCCGACGAAAAAGCAUCGGCUAACUCCGUGCCAGCAGCCGCGGUAAUACGGAGGAUGCGAGCGUUAUCCGGAUUUAUUGGGUUUAAAGGGUGCGCAGGCGGAAGAUAAAGUCAGUGGUAAAAUUGAGAGGCUCAACCUCUUCGAGCCGUUGAAACUGGUUUGCUUGAGUGGGCGAGAAGUAUGCGGAAUGCGUGGUGUAGCGGUGAAAUGCAUAGAGAUCACGCAGAACUCCGAGUGCGAAGGCAGCAUACCGGCGCUCAACUGACGCUCAUGCACGAAAGUGUGGGUAUCGAACAGGAUUAGAUACCCGGGUAGUC
rnacentral:rRNA from 1 species